rnacentral:rRNA from 1 species
GACGAACGCUGGCGGCGUGCCUAAUACAUGCAAGUAGAACGCUGAAGGAGGAGCUUGCUUCUCCGGAUGAGUUGCGAACGGGUGAGUAACGCGUAGGUAACCUGCCUGGUAGCGGGGGAUAACUAUUGGAAACGAUAGCUAAUACCGCAUAACAGUAGAUGUUGCAUGGCAUUUGCUUAAAAGGUGCAAUUGCAUCACUACCAGAUGGACCUGCGUUGUAUUAGCUAGUUGGUGAGGUAACGGCUCACCAAGGCGACGAUACAUAGCCGACCUGAGAGGGUGAUCGGCCACACUGGGACUGAGACACGGCCCAGACUCCUACGGGAGGCAGCAGUAGGGAAUCUUCGGCAAUGGACGGAAGUCUGACCGAGCAACGCCGCGUGAGUGAAGAAGGUUUUCGGAUCGUAAAGCUCUGUUGUAAGAGAAGAACGAGUGUGAGAGUGGAAAGUUCACACUGUGACGGUAUCUUACCAGAAAGGGACGGCUAACUACGUG